rnacentral:piRNA from 1 species
UUGCUAUAUUCUUGUAUUCACCCUGAC